ensembl:lncRNA
UUUGUUAUACACACAAAUUUAUUACAAUUGUAAUUUUUUGGGACAGAUUUACAACCUUAGAAUGAAAGUUGGCAAAACGUUGUCAUUCAUCUUACCUUGCUUUUGGUCUGGAGAUCUUGAUCUCCCACAUGACCUUACAUCCAUGAUGUCUACUAAAAACUUGUGCCAAUAAUGUUGACUUGCUUUUAUUAGAGUAUAUAAGAGAAAUAAACAAAUAAUAAAUAAAAAGUAAAAUAAAAAACUAUGUAAAAGAAAAAAAACCCCAAACAAAACAGUUGUUACCAUUUUGAUUCCAUCCUGUUUGGCUGGUUCCCAUUCAAAUGACUUUGCACAUUUUAUUACCUUCUUAUUCGCUGACAGUUUUGAGAAUUUUUGUUACUUGUACUUACAGUGUAAAUGACAAAGAUCAGUUUAGCAAGAUAUAAACAAAAUGUCAAAAGAUACAUUCAGACCAACAAGUUUUAUAGAACAUGAAAUGAUAUUUUUACUUGAAUAGAGAAAAUACAUUGCAUAUAAUUGAGAAUACUGGAAAAUACUUGGUGGUGUUGAAAAUAACUGCUAUAAUUUACUAAAAUUAUUGUAAAAUAGGCUCCAGAAUGCCAGAACUAAUUCAUGAUUUAACUUGUCAAACCAAAAUAGCCAAAUACUUUUAACAGCCAAAUAUUUUAAUACAACAUUGUUCUCAAAGUGUCAAUUCUAUUUGUGCUGUGACAUGAAAAGUAGCAGCUAUUUUUUAUAUCAAUUUUACAGGGAACAUACAGAAAUUUUACUGCCUUGGUCAUUUCAUUAGAAAUAGUUCUGCAUUUGUAGCUUGCAAAGUGCUUUUUCUAGAAAUAAUUAUAAUAAAAGGUCAUUUUAAUGUAAUAAACACUAAUCCCAUCUCUCAAGCACAUUCAAUAUAUACUGUGAUGUUUUUUAAGCAUGUGUAUCAUAUUAUACAGAUGCAGAAGGCCAAUUCUGUAAGUUUCAAAUAAAAUUGAUUAAUGUGUAAAUAUAUACAUUCUCAAAAUGUAUUAGCAUAGCAUUAGCCACUCCACAUAUACACUAUAUGGCCAAACGUAUGGGGACACCUGACCAUCACACCCAUAUGAGGUUCUUCCCCAAAAUGUUGCCAUAAAUUUGGAAGCAAACAAAUGUAUAGAAUGUCUCUGUAGGUUGUAGCAUUAAAAUUUCCUUCACUCUAAGAGGUCCAAACCUGUUCCAGCAUGGCAAUGCCCCUGUGCUUAAAGUGAAGACAGUGAAGACAUGGUUUGUCAAGGUUGGAGUGGAAGAACUCGAGUGUCCUGCCCAGAGCACUGACCUUAACCUCACUGAACACCUUUGAGGUGAACUGGAAUGCUGGCCUUCUUGCCCAAAAUCAGUGCCUGACAUCACCAAUGCUCUUGUGGCUGAAUUGGCAAAUGUUUCAAAGUCUAGUGGAAAGCCUUCCCAGAAUAGUGGUCAUUAUUAUAACAGCAAAGGGGAAUUGAAUGUUCAAAAUGUACAUAUGGGUGUGAUGGUCAGGUGUCUACAAACCUUUGGCCACAUAGUGUAAAUGGAAGGUAAAUUAUGUACUUGUGAGCAUAAAAAUGCAUAUUUGUGUUGGGAAAAAGCUCUUUGAUCAGCAGUGACUACUACCCAUUAUAACCACUAGAUGAUAGAUUAACAUUGUAGUCAAAGAAUAAACUGAGGAAUUUACAAAAUCUAACUGCAGCAGCCACCCUUAAUACCAUAAGGUGGCUUAAAACUUACUACAAGAGACAAAAAUUGUAUUGUGUAGAAAAAUAUGCCAAAGCUACGGUAAAGCUAUUGUAUCAAAAGAACUGGAACCAACUCCCAAAUUUUUUUUUUUUUUUUGCAUAAAUAUGAAGGCCAUAUUCAGGCUAAGGCUUUUACAAUAGAACAGUGACAUUGUCCAUGAUUGCUACACAUUGUCUUUGCUAACAUUGUUUUCCUUGUGUUGGACAGUUUUCCCAAAGCAUUACUCAAGACACCGUGUACUCUUUUCUUUUGUACCUG